UUUCCCCUACGGGGGGCAGCAGUGGGGAAUAUUGGGCAAUGGGCGCAAGCCUGACCCAGCAACGCCGCGUGAAGGAAGAAGGCUUUCGGGUUGUAAACUUCUUUUCUCAGGGACGAAGCAAGUGACGGUACCUGAGGAAUAAGCCACGGCUAACUACGUGCCAGCAGCCGCGGUAAUACGUAGGUGGCAAGCGUUAUCCGGAUUUACUGGGUGUAAAGGGCGUGUAGGCGGGGACGCAAGCCAGAUGUGAAAACAGCGGGCUCAACCUGUGGCCUGCAUUUG
rnacentral:rRNA from 1 species